rnacentral:rRNA from 1 species
GACGAACGCUGGCGGCGUGCUUAACACAUGCAAGUCGAACGGAAAGGCCCUGCUUUUGUGGGGUGCUCGAGUGGCGAACGGGUGAGUAACACGUGAGUAACCUGCCCUUGACUUUGGGAUAACUUCAGGAAACUGGGGCUAAUACCGGAUAGGAGCUCCUGCUGCAUGGUGGGGGUUGGAAAGUUUCGGCGGGUGGGGAUGGACUCGCGGCUUAUCAGCUUGUUGGUGGGGUAGGGGCUUACCAAGGCUUUGACGGGUAGCCGGCCUGAGAGGGUGACCGGCCACAUUGGGACUGAGAUACGGCCCAGACUCCUACGGUAGGCAGCAGUGGGGAAUAUUGCACAGUGGGCGGAAGCCUGAUGCAGCAACGCCGCGUGCGGGAUGACGGCCUUCGGGUUGUAAACCGCUUUCGCCUGUGACGAAGCGUGAGUGACGGUAAUGGGUAAAGAAGCACCGGCUAACUACGUG